rnacentral:rRNA from 1 species
CACUCUAGAGAGACUGCCAGGGAUAACCUGGAGGAAGGUGGGGAUGACGUCAAAUCAUCAUGCCCCUUAUGCUUAGGGCUACACACGUGCUACAAUGGGUAGUACAGAGGGUUGCCAAGCCGUAAGGUGGAGCUAAUCCCUUAAAGCUACUCUCAGUUCGGAUUGUAGGCUGAAACUCGCCUACAUGAAGCUGGCGUUACUAGUAAUCGCAGAUCAGAAUGCUGCGGUGAAUGCGUUCCCGGGUCUUGUACACACCGCCCGUCACACCACGGGAGUUGGAGACGCCCGAAGCCGAUUAUCUAACCUUUUGGAAGAAGUCGUCGAAGGUGGAAUCAAUAACUGGGGUGAAGUCGUAACAAGGUAGCCGUAUCGGAAGGUGCGGCUGGAUCACCUCCUUUCUAAGGAGA